AUGUCUCACCCUGGAGUCUACCUACGAACUCCAGAUGCAAGCCCUGGUAGUUUCAUUAAGGUUUUGUGGGAUCUGACCCGCAAUACCCUUGGUUCCAGCAACCCACCCCAGUAUGAGUUGUUCAAAAUGAGGAUCACCCCUAAUUCCUCAAAAUACUGGGCAGUUGUGCACAUCCCACGAGAGGAUUUAAAUCAAGACCCUCCAUAUGUUGUCUUCGUCGGGAGAUCCAUGCCAACCUCAGGCAUGGCUAUUGAGGCUGCUGCUUAUGAAGCAGUUACCCGUGUUCGGUUCACUAUACCCGCUGCCAGUGAAAGGAAAUACUACUAUUUCCCGAGCCGCGCAGCUUUUGGAGCAGAAGCCACGUUCCGUUGUGAACGCAUAGAGAGGGAUCCAACUCUGGCCAAUCUCAUUCAAUAUGUGAUGGCCCAGGAGCAUCUAACCCAGCAACUAAUGGAUUACCUCCAUUAUCUUGCUAUGCUGAAUCCCCAUAUCGCCAUUGGUGGACCACCAUGGCCAACUCCGGAAGGGCGUGUUCUUCGUUUACUUCCUUCACUUCCCCCGGAAGAAGAAGAAUGUGCUCCAGCAUCGGGAACCCUUCCACAAGACCCUGUAGAUCUCACCUUCAGACUGUAG
rnacentral:rRNA from 1 species